rnacentral:rRNA from 1 species
UGAGUAACACGUAUGCAAUCCACCUGUAACAGGGGGAUAAUCCGGAGAAAUCCGGACUAAUACCCCAUAAUAUGGGCGCUCCGCAUGGAGAGCCCAUUAAAGAGAGCAAUUUUGGUUACAGACGAGCAUGCGCUCCAUUAGCCAGUUGGCGGGGUAACGGCCCACCAAAGCGACGAUGGAUAGGGGUUCUGAGAGGAAGGUCCCCCACAUUGGAACUGAGACACGGUCCAA